rnacentral:rRNA from 1 species
AUGAACGCUGGCGGCGUGCCUAAUACAUGCAAGUCGAGCGAACGGACGAGAAGCUUGCUUCUCUGAUGUUAGCGGCGGACGGGUGAGUAACACGUGGAUAACCUACCUAUAAGACUGGGAUAACUUCGGGAAACCGGAUCUAAUACCGGAUGAUAUUUUGAACCGCAUGGUUCAAAAGUGAAAGACGGUCUUGCUGUCACUUAUAGAUGGAUCCGCGCUGCAUUAGCUAGUUGGUAAGGUAACGGCUUACCAAGGCAACGAUGCAUAGCCGACCUGAGAGGGUGAUCGGCCACACUGGAACUGAGACACGGUCCAGACUCCUACGGGAGGCAGCAGUAGGGAAUCUUCCGCAAUGGGCGAAGGCCUGACGGAGCAACGCCGCGUGAGUGAUGAAGGUCUUCGGAUCGUAAAACUCUGUUAUUAGGGAAGAACAUAUGUGUAAGUAACUGUGCACAUCUUGACGGUACCUAAUCAGAAAGCCACGGCUAACUACGUG